UAGUGGCGAACGGGUGAGUAACACGUGGGCAAUCUGCCCUGCACGUCUGGGACAAGCCCUGGAAACGGGGUCUAAUACCGGAUAUGACUGUCCAUCGCAUGGUGGAUGGUGUAAAGCUCCGGCGGUGCAGGAUGAGCCCGCGGCCUAUCAGCUUGUUGGUGAGGUAGUGGCUCACCAAGGCGACGACGGGUAGCCGGCCUGAGAGGGCGACCGGCCACACUGGGACUGAGACACGGCCCAGACUCCUACGGGAGGCAGCAGUGGGGAAUAUUGCACAAUGGGCGAAAGCCUGAUGCAGCGACGCCGCGUGAGGGAUGACGGCCUUCGGGUUGUAAACCUCUUUCAGCAGGGAAGAAGCGAAAGUGACGGUACCUGCAGAAGAAGCGCCGGCUAACUACGUGCCAGCAGCCGCGGUAAUACGGAGGGCGCAAGCGUUGUCCGGAAUUAUUGGGCGUAAAGAGCUCGUAGGCGGCUUGUCACGUCGGUUGUGAAAGCCCGGGGCUUAACCCCGGGUCUGC
rnacentral:rRNA from 1 species